AGUGAACGCUGGCGGUAGGCCUAACACAUGCAAGUCGAACGGCAGCACAGGAGAGCUUGCUCUCUGGGUGGCGAGUGGCGGACGGGUGAGGAAUACAUCGGAAUCUACUCUGUCGUGGGGGAUAACGUAGGGAAACUUACGCUAAUACCGCAUACGACCUACGGGUGAAAGCAGGGGACCUUCGGGCCUUGCGCGAUUGAAUGAGCCGAUGUCGGAUUAGCUAGUUGGCGGGGUAAAGGCCCACCAAGGCGACGAUCCGUAGCUGGUCUGAGAGGAUGAUGAGCCACACUGGAACUGGGACACGGUCCAGACUCCUACGGGAGGCAGCAGUGGGGAAUAUUGGACAAUGGGCGCAAGCCUGAUCCAGCCAUACCGCGUGGGUGAAGAAGGACUUCGGGUUGUAAAGCCCUUUUGUUGGGAAAGAAAUCCAGCUGGCUAAUACCCGGUUGGGAUGACGGUACCCAAAGAAUAAGCACCGGCUAACUUCGUGCCAGCCGCCGCCGUAA
rnacentral:rRNA from 1 species